rnacentral:rRNA from 1 species
AGAUUAAACUGAAGAGUUUGAUCCUGGCUCAGAUUGAACGCUGGCGGCAUGCCUUACACAUGCAAGUCGAACGGCAGCACGGAGCUUGCUCUGGUGGCGAGUGGCG